UGAGGAAUAUUGGUCAAUGGGCGUUAGCCUGAACCAGCCAAGUAGCGUGAAGGAUGAAGGCUCUAUGGGUCGUAAACUUCUUUUAUAUAAGAAUAAAGUGCAGUAUGUAUACUGUUUUGUAUGUAUUAUAUGAAUAAGGAUCGGCUAACUCCGUGCCAGCAGCCGCGGUAAUACGGAGGAUCCGAGCGUUAUCCGGAUUUAUUGGGUUUAAAGGGAGCGUAGGUGGACUGGUAAGUCAGUUGUGAAAGUUUGCGGCUCAACCGUAAAAUUGCAGUUGAUACUGUCAGUCUUGAGUACACGCAGGGAAGCCUGAAUUCAUGGUGUAGCGGUGAAAUGCUUAGAUAUCAUGAAGACGACCGAUCGCGAAGGCAGGUUUCCCGGAGUGUGACUGACGCUGAGGCUCGAAAGUGCGGGGGUAUCAAACAGGAUUAGAUACC
rnacentral:rRNA from 1 species